rnacentral:tRNA from 1 species
GCGGGCGUCGUAACCUGUUGAUUUAUAGCAGAUUUAUGUAGAUGUGCAUGAUUUAGGUUCCAGCGCCGCAAGGUGUGAGAGUUCGAGUCUCUCCGUCCGCACCA